rnacentral:rRNA from 1 species
AAUGAACGCUGGCGGCAUGCCUAACACAUGCAAGUCGAACGAAGGCUUCGGCCUUAGUGGCGCACGGGUGCGUAACGCGUGGGAAUCUGCCCUCAGGUUCGGAAUAACAGCGAGAAAUUGCUGCUAAUACCGGAUGAUAUCGCGAGAUCAAAGAUUUAUCGCCUGAGGAUGAGCCCGCGGAGGAUUAGCUAGUUGGUGUGGUAAAGGCGCACCAAGGCGACGAUCCUUAGCUGGUCUGAGAGGAUGAUCAGCCACACUGUGACUGAGACACGGCCCAGACUCCUACGGGAGGCAGCAGUGGGGAAUAUUGGACAAUGGGCGAAAGCCUGAUCCAGCAAUGCCGCGUGAGUGAUGAAGGCCUUAGGGUUGUAAAGCUCCUUUACCCGGGAUGAUAAUGACAGUACCGGGAGAAUAAGCUCCGGCUAACUCCGUGCCAGCCGCCGCGGUAA